GCCGUUCCCGCUGCGGUCCGACCCCUCGCGGCGCCCAGUCUCCUGUCGGGUCCGCUCCGGCCUGGCCUUUGGGGUUGUCAUAGCGGCGGCUCCUCCUGCAGGGCGCGGCGCCAGUGACUACGGCCAGGAGGCCGUGACAGAAUUGGAACACCACUUGCUGUAACUCAAAGUCAUGGAGAAAACUACUCACUGUAUGCUGGUUAGAAAGGGUGCUGUGGCAUUUGCAAGAAAGCAGGACUUCACAAUAGAAGAGCAUAAAAACCUGAUGACUAAGCAGAGUGCUGAAGCUUAUCAGGGUAUUCGGCAAGAAGGAACUGAAGAGGCAGCAGUCGCCAGGGACCUAUAUAGACUACCAUGAAGGUGCGACUCCAGGCGUCUCCACAGCCCAUCCAACGGGUACUGCUUAGAUGCUAGGGGGAAAACCUUCCAACGACUGUGCAUGUGGCGUGCACACACACCUACUUGGAAUUGACAUGAACACAUCUCGAACAACAACAAUUACGAGAAGGGAGAAGCCGGAGCUGCUUCAUCAGUUCCAUUUCGAUACUGCAUGUGCUCUCAGAGAAAGGACUCCAUAGAAGAAUUAGUGCAACAACCCUACUAGAGAUGAAGAAAUACAGUAAAAGAUAAUUCUUCUGUCAUACAGGCCAAAUUAUGAACUCCUUACUCACAAUGGUGAGCAGUACAAUUAGUCCCUUUGACUUUUUGAUUUAACCGAGAUGCAUACUAAAUAAUGUAUAACCCUUUCUCUGAAUUAAUUGCUCAAGGAUUUAAAAUAUAGUUACCAACGACAGGUCUAUAGGUUAUAACUGACUAGUAUCAACAAAUCAAGGGUAGAAUAAAGAUGAUAGCAUUUCACUCUUCUAACAGAUUAUCCAAAGACUGAGUUGUUUUGGGUUUUUUCUGUAGAUACAACAAAUCUCAUGCUUAACAAAAAAUCAUAAUUUAAAAACAAACGCAUCUAGUUUUCUGUUGUUAGUUUAAUGUAGUAUAUGACUUUGGCCAAGGUUUAGUCUAUCAGCUAAGGAAACUAUCCAAUUAUAAUUAUUGAUAAGAUAAACCAGUUAUACAACCUUCUUUCCAGAUCUCACCAAAUCUUACAAAAGUUCCAAAUCCUACAAUACUCAAGCAAAACUUUUGAGAUGAAGGUCAUCCAUGUGCAAAGGUCCAGUAGAAAGGCUAUGCACCACUUAGGCCCUACAUUUAGGGCUUAAGUGGGUCAUGAUAAACAGGUCUUGCGCUGGUUUUCAACACAGGGUUAAUUUCAUCCCUGAGUCAGAAACUGGCCUGGGGAGCUCAGGGAGAGAGAGUGAGCAAGAAACACAGGGUUGAGAGAGAAAUUUUAGGGGCAGAGAUCUGGGGAGGACCAAGGAGUAACAAUAUAAUAUAGGGAGAAGCAUAAAGGAGACUGAAAGAUCAGAAUGGGGGAAGUAAAGGAGAUAGGAACUAGCUGUAUCUUUGAACUAGAGCAGUGUUUCUCAUUCUAGAGGUGGGUGCCUUGCCAGGGGCUCAGACUAAUCCGGUGUAGGGCCAGGAAGGCAAUAACGGAGGUGGUAAAAGUUGCAUGACCUCAAAUGUGUCCUUUCUCAAUACAGAUGCACUUCAGUAACUGAGUAAAGCAAUAAGUGACUCCUUGAAAGCCACCCACCUUCCACCUCACUCCUAUAGAACUGAAUGUACACCUGUUACAGAAGAAGGUGAUAUAUACAGAAUUUCAGGCACAGGUGUAUCCCCAAGAUUCUCUCAUUUACUCACCUGACACUAACUUAGCUGUAUGGGGAUGUGAGAGCUUCAUGAAGUGAUCAGUGGAUGCUUCAUGAAGUAAUCAGUGGAUGCUCCACUCCAAGCAGGCUCUAGCCUUCUGCUUCAUGGGGCUGACUGACAGGGGGAGCCAUGAAACAAAGUAGAUGAGGGAGGAGGGGGAGAAGGCAACCAUUUUGCCAGGCUAUAGCAGAAAGGGAUGCCUAUCUGCCAUUCCAUCACAUGGUGGAGCUUCACCAGAACAAGGAUUAGGUCCAAGGAACUAGGCAUAUCACUCCUGGCAAAGAAGACAGAUAUUAGCAGAGAAAAGAAACCAAGGGGACAUGAGACUGGCAAAGGGGAGGAAAACAAAGAAUGUGAAUAUAAAAGGGAGAAAAUGAGAGGAAAGGGUACUGCUUUUAAAAGUAAAAAAGCAGGAGGUAAGAAAAUGUCAAAAAGGGAAAAGUGGCAUGGAGAUGGAAAACGAAAAAUAAAGGGAUGAAGAAAUAGAAGGGACAACACAAGAAAACAACUACAUGUUAGUCUGGUGAAUUUCAUUUGUGCUCCUCCUGGCAGGAGUCCUGUGUUUUGUUUAUUUAUAAAUGUAUUUUGGUGCCCUUUGGCAAAUACUUUACAUUUAUAAAAACCAUUGGAAAAUACCAGCCUCUGAUCUUAAGGACUAACCAUGCAAACCCCCAUUCCAGAGCAACAACAUAAAAAAAACCAAUUCAUAGUAUUAUGUGAAAGCAAACUAAUUUCAGUGGGUUGACCAAACUAAGUAAAACCCUGUGCCCUGUAGAGAGAAGCAGUCCUCUGGGAUAACUAUGCUAGAGCAUUUAGGGUUUUGUAGGUGAUAACCAACCUAAUAAAAUUGCACUCUGAUGCAAAUAGAUAGCUGGAGAGUAGUGUGCUGGGACCAAAUUCUGCCCUCACUCACGUUUUCUGCAACCCCACUAAAGUGCACAGGGUUGCACACGGUAUGAGUCAGGGCAGAAUUUGGCCUUGGUGUUAUGCAUCAAUAUGGUACCUUGACCCCCACCUAAGAGACAUUUUUCAAAGGUAGCUCCAAGUGCACUGUGUUACAGUAAUCCACGUUACAGUUUACAAAGGACUGAGUCACUAUGCCAGGGUCCGCAUCAUAAAGAAAGAGGCACAGCCUCUAGACCUAUGUUAGAUAGAAACAGGCACUGUGUCCAGGACCCUGUAUUCUCCAUGAUUCUGCAUCCAUAUAAUCCAAUCUUUGCUGCAAGAUCAUGCUUCAGAAUUUAAGCUUUCGUUUUAAAAAACAAAGACACUAGAUCCUCAGCUGACAUGAAUUGGCACUGAAACACGGGCACUAUGACAACUUAUGCCAGCUGAGCAUCCAGCUCAAUAUCCUCUUUGUCCUCAUGGCUGUGAAAAUAACAUUGAAAACGUGACCCAAGUGUAACCAAUGCAGUCAUAUCUGACUGGAUCUGCAGAUGAUCGUCCGAAAGAAAAGCUCAUAGACGUGUGAACUCAUCUGUAGGGGGUGGUAUCUCUGAAAACCUAAAGAUAGUUUAAAAAUCAGCAUUGUUAACUGAAUUGAAUAUUAAAGCAAAUAACACACUAA